GGGGGGGGACAGGCUUGCUUCAGCCAUGAUUUGUGUCACUGCAACACCCAGUUAUAAAAUGUGUCACCAGGGUUACGUCUGAGUUAAUGAUCACAACCUGAGAGGAUUCUUUUUGGGACUGGAGAGCGUUUCCUCUUUCCUGCUCACAAAUCCUGUUUCUAAGUAAUAAUAUUAAUAAUCAUAAUAACCAUAAUAUUUUUGUAUUUUUAUUGAUCAAACACAUGUAACAAUUUGUAUUGUAUCUCUUUGUAGGAUUUUUUUAAUUGAGCUAUUUUAAACAACCCAGUCUCAUCAGAAAACGUUCAAUGGCAACGUUGGUCCACUUGGAACGACGUUACCAUCUCACAAUCUGGCCUCUCAGAUUGUGAGAUGGUAACAUUUAGUCCUCCCAUUGUUUUGCAUUGGCGUGUUCUCACGUCACGUGACUCUCAAGCUCCCGUCUGCGGAGAGGAAAACAUGGCGCAGAUUCCUUGUUUUUUCAGAUAAAAAUAUAAUUUUGUAACUUAGUUUGGGCAUAAAAAUACUUUCUGACACCAUUUCUAGCGAGAAAUGUGCUCUUUGCUUCCACAGUCUUCAGCCAGUUCGUGCUUAUGAUAAAUAUUUUAAUAGUUAUCACGCAUGUUUUUAUCGUUGCUAUGAUGGUUGCCAUGCCACCACGGCGCAGCGUGGUGUUUAAAUCACAGUCCCUGCGUGGUGUCCUUCAGUGAUCGUGAAUGUUAUUCAUGUUAUAUAAUAGUAAUAUUUGAGUCUAGAUUACGUCUCUAAUGAGAAGGAUCCUGCGAGUCUAUUCAUACCGAGGCCGGCCCGAGUGCGCGACCGGACCGAGUGCGCGAGCGGACAUGACGUGUGGCUGUCGUAAAAACCCUAUUUGUAAACAACUAGUCCUUUAACUCAGCGCUACGUCAUAAACACGGAGCGCUUGGAAGACCACGAUGUCAUCUUCCUUCUGUCAGGAGGAUCAAAGUGAAGCUACAGGAGUUUCAUUAACGUCAACAACUUGGACCGAACAGUUUGUUUUGCUUGAUGAAGAGCAGGAAGGGCAGCCUGGAGAGAAAGAGAAGCCGGGUUGAGCCCACUAACAUCAUCCACGUACCACGAGGAAGAUGAGGGAGAGAAAUGAUCCUACCAUUAAAGAGACUGUGAAAAGAACGUUGAGAACAUCACCACUCUACAGGAAGACACAGUCCAGUAAUGGGUGUCAGAAGUUCAGUAGUGAACGACAG